rnacentral:misc_RNA from 1 species
UCCGAGUUGUCCCCGGCAGUCUCUUUAGAGUCCCCGGCAUUACCCGCUGGCAACUAAAGACAGGGGUUGCGCUCGUUGCGGCACUUAAGCCAACACCUCACGGCACGAGCUGACGACAGCCAUGCAGCACCUGUGCUGGCCCCUUACGGACACGGGCUUUCACCCGCUUUAACCAGCAUGUCAAGCCUAGGUAAGGUUCUUCGCGUUGCAUCGAAUUAAGCCACAUGCUCCGCCGCUUGUGCGGGUCCCCGUCAAUUCCUUUGAGUUUUAGCCUUGCGGCCGUACUCCCCAGGCGGAGUGCUUAAUGCGUUAGCUGCGGCACAGAGCGGGUUGAAGACCGCCCCACACCUAGUGCCCAACGUUUACGGCGUGGACUAC